rnacentral:rRNA from 1 species
GACGAACGCUGGCGGCGUGCUUAACACAUGCAAGUCGAACGGAAAGGCCCUGCUUUUGUGGGGUGCUCGAGUGGCGAACGGGUGAGUAACACGUGAGUAACCUGCCCUUGACUUUGGGAUAACUUCAGGAAACUGGGGCUAAUACCGGAUAGGAGCUCCUGCUGCAUGGUGGGGGUUGGAAAGUUUCGGCGGUUGGGGAUGGACUCGCGGCUAAUCAGUUUGUUGGUGGGGUAGUGGCUUACCAAGGCUUUGGCGGGUAGCCGGCCUGGGAGGGUGACCGGCUACAUGGGGACUGAGAUACGGCCCAGACUCCUACGGGAGGCAGGAGUGGGGAAUAUUGCACAAUGGGCGGAAGCCUGAUGCAGAACGCCGCGUGCGGGAUGACGGCCUUCGGGUUGUAAACCGCUUUCGCCUGUGACGAAGCGUGAGUGACGGUAAUGGGUAAAGAAGCACCGGCUAACUACGUG